rnacentral:rRNA from 1 species
CACUCCUACGGGAGGCAGCAGUGGGGAAUAUUGCACAAUGGGCGGAAGCCUGAUGCAGCAACGCCGCGUGCGGGAUGACGGCCUUCGGGUUGUAAACCGCUUUCGCCUGUGACGAAGCGUGAGUGACGGUAAUGGGUAAAGAAGCACCGGCUAACUACGUGCCAGCAGCCGCGGUGAUACGUAGGGUGCGAGCGUUGUCCGGAUUUAUUGGGCGUAAAGGGCUCGUAGGUGGUUGAUCGCGUCGGAAGUGUAAUCUUGGGGCUUAACCCUGAGCGUGCUUUCGAUACGGGUUGACUUGAGGAAGGUAGGGGAGAAUGGAAUUCCUGGUGGAGCGGUGGAAUGCGCAGAUAUCAGGAGGAACACCAGUGGCGAAGGCGGUUCUCUGGGCCUUUCCUGACGCUGAGGAGCGAAAGCGUGGGGAGCGAACAGGCUUAGAAACCCUAGUAGUCCCAUGA